rnacentral:rRNA from 1 species
AUUGAACGCUGGCGGCAUGCUUUACACAUGCAAGUCGAACGGUAACGCGGGGCAACCUGGCGACGAGUGGCGAACGGGUGAGUAAUACAUCGGAACGUGCCUAGUAGUGGGGGAUAGCCCGGCGAAAGCCGGAUGAAUACCGCCUACGAACUACGGGUGAAAGCGGGGGACCGCAAAGCCUCGCGCCAUUGGAGCGGCCGAUGGCAGAUUAGGUAGUUGGUGUGGUAAAGGCCUACCAAGCCGACGAUCUCUAGCUGGUCUGAGAGGACGACCAGCCACACUGGGACUGAGACACGGCCCAGACUCCUACGGGAGGCAGCAGUGGGGAAUUUUGGACAAUGGGGGCAACCCUGAUCCAGCCAUGCCGCGUGCGGGAAGAAGGCCUUCGGGUUGUAAACCGCUUUUGUCAGGGAAGAAACGGCCUGACCUAAUACGCUGGGCUAAUGACGGUACCUGAAGAAUAAGCACCGGCUAACUACGUGCCAGCCGCCGCGGUAAAAC